rnacentral:rRNA from 1 species
AAGGACGUGCUAAUCUGCGAUAAGCGUCGGUGAGGUGAUAUGAACCGUUAUAACCGGCGAUUUCCGAAUGGGGAAACCCAGUGUGUUUCGACACACUAUCAUUAACUGAAUCCAUAGGUUAAUGAGGCGAACCGGGGGAACUGAAACAUCUAAGUACCCCGAGGAAAAGAAAUCAACCGAGAUUCCCCCAGUAGCGGCGAGCGAACGGGGAGGAGCCCAGAGCCUGAAUCAGUGUGUGUGUUAGUGGAAGCGUCUGGAAAGGCGUGCGAUACAGGGUGACAGCCCCGUACACAAAAAUGCACAUAUUGUGAGCUCGAUGAGUAGGGCGGGACACGUGGUAUCCUGUCUGAAUAUGGGGGGACCAUCCUCCAAGGCUAAAUACUCCUGACUGACCGAUAGUGAACCAGUACCGUGAGGGAAAGGCGAAAAGAACCCCGGCGAGGGGAGUGAAAAAGAACCUGAAACCGUGUACGUACAAGCAGUGGGAGCCUCUUAAUGGGGUGACUGCGUACCUUUUGUAUAAUGGGUCAGCGACUUAUAUUCUGUAGCAAGGUUAACCGAAUAGGGGAGCCGAAGGGAAACCGAGUCUUAACUGGGCGUUAAGUUGCAGGGUAUAGACCCGAAACCCGGUGAUCUAGCCAUGGGCAGGUUGAAGGUUGGGUAACACUAACUGGAGGACCGAACCGACUAAUGUUGAAAAAUUAGCGGAUGACUUGUGGCUGGGGGUGAAAGGCCAAUCAAACCGGGAGAUAGCUGGUUCUCCCCGAAAGCUAUUUAGGUAGCGCCUCGUGAAUUCAUCUCCGGGGGUAGAGCACUGUUUCGGCAAGGGGGUCAUCCCGACUUACCAACCCGAUGCAAACUGCGAAUACCGGAGAAUGUUAUCACGGGAGACACACGGCGGGUGCUAACGUCCGUCGUGAAGAGGGAAACAACCCAGACCGCCAGCUAAGGUCCCAAAGUCAUGGUUAAGUGGGAAACGAUGUGGGAAGGCCCAGACAGCCAGGAUGUUGGCUUAGAAGCAGCCAUCAUUUAAAGAAAGCGUAAUAGCUCACUGGUCGAGUCGGCCUGCGCGGAAGAUGUAACGGGGCUAAACCAUGCACCGAAGCUGCGGCAGCGACACUAUGUGUUGUUGGGUAGGGGAGCGUUCUGUAAGCCUGUGAAGGUGGCCUGUGAGGGUUGCUGGAGGUAUCAGAAGUGCGAAUGCUGACAUAAGUAACGAUAAAGCGGGUGAAAAGCCCGCUCGCCGGAAGACCAAGGGUUCCUGUCCAACGUUAAUCGGGGCAGGGUGAGUCGACCCCUAAGGCGAGGCCGAAAGGCGUAGUCGAUGGGAAACAGGUUAAUAUUCCUGUACUUGGUGUUACUGCGAAGGGGGGACGGAGAAGGCUAUGUUGGCCGGGCGACGGUUGUCCCGGUUUAAGCGUGUAGGCUGGUUUUCCAGGCAAAUCCGGAAAACCAAGGCUGAGGCGUGAUGACGAGGCACUACGGUGCUGAAGCGACAAAUGCCCUGCUUCCAGGAAAAGCCUCUAAGCAUCAGGUAACAUCAAAUCGUACCCCAAACCGACACAGGUGGUCAGGUAGAGAAUACCAAGGCGCUUGAGAGAACUCGGGUGAAGGAACUAGGCAAAAUGGUGCCGUAACUUCGGGAGAAGGCACGCUGAUAUGUAGGUGAAGCGACUUGCUCGUGGAGCUGAAAUCAGUCGAAGAUACCAGCUGGCUGCAACUGUUUAUUAAAAACACAGCACUGUGCAAACACGAAAGUGGACGUAUACGGUGUGACGCCUGCCCGGUGCCGGAAGGUUAAUUGAUGGGGUUAGCGGCAACGCGAAGCUCUUGAUCGAAGCCCCGGUAAACGGCGGCCGUAACUAUAACGGUCCUAAGGUAGCGAAAUUCCUUGUCGGGUAAGUUCCGACCUGCACGAAUGGCGUAAUGAUGGCCAGGCUGUCUCCACCCGAGACUCAGUGAAAUUGAACUCGCUGUGAAGAUGCAGUGUACCCGCGGCAAGACGGAAAGACCCCGUGAACCUUUACUAUAGCUUGACACUGAACAUUGAGCCUUGAUGUGUAGGAUAGGUGGGAGGCUUUGAAGUGUGGACGCCAGUCUGCAUGGAGCCGACCUUGAAAUACCACCCUUUAAUGUUUGAUGUUCUAACGUUGGCCCGUAAUCCGGGUUGCGGACAGUGUCUGGUGGGUAGUUUGACUGGGGCGGUCUCCUCCUAAAGAGUAACGGAGGAGCACGAAGGUUGGCUAAUCCUGGUCGGACAUCAGGAGGUUAGUGCAAUGGCAUAAGCCAGCUUGACUGCGAGCGUGACGGCGCGAGCAGGUGCGAAAGCAGGUCAUAGUGAUCCGGUGGUUCUGAAUGGAAGGGCCAUCGCUCAACGGAUAAAAGGUACUCCGGGGAUAACAGGCUGAUACCGCCCAAGAGUUCAUAUCGACGGCGGUGUUUGGCACCUCGAUGUCGGCUCAUCACAUCCUGGGGCUGAAGUAGGUCCCAAGGGUAUGGCUGUUCGCCAUUUAAAGUGGUACGCGAGCUGGGUUUAGAACGUCGUGAGACAGUUCGGUCCCUAUCUGCCGUGGGCGCUGGAGAACUGAGGGGGGCUGCUCCUAGUACGAGAGGACCGGAGUGGACGCAUCACUGGUGUUCGGGUUGUCAUGCCAAUGGCACUGCCCGGUAGCUAAAUGCGGAAGAGAUAAGUGCUGAAAGCAUCUAAGCACGAAACUUGCCCCGAGAUG